rnacentral:rRNA from 1 species
UGGGGAAUAUUGGACAAUGGGCGCAAGCCUGAUCCAGCCAUGCCGCGUGUGUGAAGAAGGCCUUCGGGUUGUAAAGCACUUUUGUCCGGAAAGAAAAGCUUCCGAUUAAUACUCGGGAGUCAUGACGGUACCGGAAGAAUAAGCACCGGCUAACUUCGUG